rnacentral:lncRNA from 1 species
CAUGCUUUAACCCUUGUUAACCUUAGGACAAAACUGGAUAUUCUUUUGUUAAAUAAGCAUUUGUGAAUUUUCACUGAUAUAACCCAGCUGUUAACAAAUUUUUAUGUUUGGAAGGCAAAAUCAGCUGAACGGGAAAAAAUGCUAGCAAUCUGAAAAGUCAUAAGAGUUUCAAUUUUAGAUAUAACUUCAUUAAACUUUCCUUCACAGCUAAAUUUCUGCAUUAUUAUCUUACCAAAAAGUUCUAUUUUACAUUUAAAAUAAGUAGUAGUCUAAGAGAAUUCAAGAAAGUUAAUGUACAGGAUUCUUGGAUUUAGUUAAAAUUAUGUGGACUCAGUAGCCAAUUUAUCUCAGUGAAAAGAACUGUAUUAGCUACCUAGGGAUUCUUAAUUCCCAAAGAGACCCGAAAUUCCUCAUAAUAAGUAGUCACAUAAUUCAGUGUACUAUGUCAUUUUAGUAAAAGGCAGUUAUGAUAUAGAGCCGUACUUGCCUUACGAUAAUAAUAAUAUGUGUUGAGUGAAUCUGAUUAGCAAGGGUACAAAUAAGGUAGAAUUCUUUGUAUUGUUGAGGAAAAAUAGGCAUUUGAAAAAAAUAUCGGAGGUUUAAAAUAUCAAGACUUUGACAUGACUAAUGAACAUGAUUUCUAAACAGACAGUGAUUGCAUUUACAAUACUACCUGAAGAGCUUUCUUUUUUAAAAAAAAAAGAUCGUAAGGCUCCACCCCUAUAAACUGCAUUAGAAGACCUAGGAAAAGAAGACCACUGGAAUCGGUAAAAUACAUUUUGCAGAUAUGAUCCAAGCAGCUAGAGUUGGAAACAGUUGUCUCUACCUCAUUUGGGUUGUUCCACUUCUCUGCUCUAGUAUUAAUAAGUGAAUAUUCUGCUAAAGCCGAAUUUUGUCCCUGUCUACUCUGUGAUGCAUUAGUACUAUGUAAGAAUUACAUACAAAGUCUCAUCACAUACAAACUCACAUCUCAUUCAAAGACACAGUUCCAGCUAUCUUCUCUCCUGCAUCCGUUUUCUCUCUUGUAGAUCAUUC